GACGAACGCUGGCGGCGUGCCUAAUACAUGCAAGUCGAACGCUGAAGGAGGAGCUUGCUUCUCUGGAUGAGUUGCGAACGGGUGAGUAACGCGUAGGUAACCUGCCUGGUAGCGGGGGAUAACUAUUGGAAACGAUAGCUAAUACCGCAUAAUAGCAGUUAUUGCAUGAUAACUGUUUGAAAGGUGCAAUUGCACCACUACCAGAUGGACCUGCGUUGUAUUAGCUAGUUGGUGGGGUAACGGCUCACCAAGGCGACGAUACAUAGCCGACCUGAGAGGGUGAUCGGCCACACUGGGACUGAGACACGGCCCAGACUCCUACGGGAGGCAGCAGUAGGGAAUCUUCGGCAAUGGACGGAAGUCUGACCGAGCAACGCCGCGUGAGUGAAGAAGGGUUUCGGAUCGUAAAGCUCUGUUGUAAGAGAAGAACGAGUGUGAGAGUGGAAAGUUCACACUGUGACGGUAUCUUACCAGAAAGAGACGGCUAACUACGUG
rnacentral:rRNA from 1 species